GGGAGACCAAGGGUGCCCUGCUCAAUGUCAGCCCUGACUCUGUGCCACGUGCACUCAGCUCUGCCACGGAGGUGCAUGGCUCUGUAGACGUGGACGGAAGACAUUAGGACUCCCAGAGGGUGACUCCAGGGGCAGGUGGCUUGGAGGACUGGCCGUGCAAGGAGGCAGCAAAGGGGCGGCCAUCUGCAAGCUGAGGGCAGAGGCCUUGGAGGAAGCAGCCCUGCCAGUGCUGGUAACU
rnacentral:lncRNA from 1 species